UACAGAGGUGGCAAGCGUUGUUCGGAAUUACUGGGCGUAAAGGGCGCGUAGGCGGUUUCGUAAGUCCCGUGUGAAAGCCCCCGGCUCAACUGGGGAACUGCACGGGAAACUGCGAGGCUUGAGUUCGGGAGAGGGAAGCGGAAUUCCGGGUGUAGCGGUGAAAUGCGUAGAUAUCCGGAGGAACACCGGUGGGAAGGCGGCUUCCUGGACCGACACUGACGCUGAGGCGCGAAAGCUAGGGGAGCAAACGGG
rnacentral:rRNA from 1 species